AGUGAACGCUGGCGGUAGGCCUAACACAUGCAAGUCGAACGGCAGCACAGUAAGUGCUUGCUCUUACGGGUGGCGAGUGGCGGACGGGGGAGGAAUACAUCGGAAUCUACUUUUUCGUGGGGGAUAACGUAGGGAAACUUACGCUAAUACCGCAUACGACCUACGGGGGAGAGCAGGGGAUCUUCUGACCUUGCGCGAGUGAAUGAGCCGAUGUCGGAUUAGCUAGUUGGCGGGGUAAAGGCGCACCAAGGCGACGAUCCGUAGCUGGUCUGAGAGGAUGGUCCGCCACACUGGAACUGAGACACGGUCCAGACUCCUACGGGAGGCAGCAGUGGGGAAUAUUGGGCAAUGGGCGAGAGCCUGAUCCAGCCAUACCGCGUGGGUGAAGAAGGCCUUCGGGUUGUAAAGCCCUUUUGUUGGUAAAGAAAAGCAGCAGGUUAAUACCCCGCUGUUCUGACGGUACCCAAAGAAUAAGCACCGGCUAACUUCGUG
rnacentral:rRNA from 1 species